rnacentral:rRNA from 1 species
GGGGAAUAUUGGACAAUGGGCGCAAGCCUGAUCCAGCCAUGCCGCGUGAGUGAUGAAGGCCUUAGGGUUGUAAAGCUCUUUCAGCGGGGAAGAUAAUGACGGUACCCGCAGAAGAAGCCCCGGCUAACUUCGUGCCAGCAGCCGCGGUAAUACGAAGGGGGCUAGCGUUGUUCGGAAUCACUGGGCGUAAAGCGCACGUAGGCGGAUCGAUAAGUCAGGGGUGAAAGCCCGAGGCUCAACCUCGGAAUUGCCUUUGAUACUGUCGAUCUUGAGUCCGGGAGAGGUGGGUGGAACUCCGAGUGUAGAGGUGAAAUUCGUAGAUAUUCGGAAGAACACCAGUGGCGAAGGCGGCUCACUGGCCCGGUACUGACGCUGAGGUGCGAAAGCGUGGGGAGCAAAC